GUACCGAUUCACAUUGCCGAGUUUCAACCCCGAAAGGGCGCAUCCUUUGUCGUCGAGCACCUCUCGCUCAUCGCUAUGGUUCGGUCCCGGAUAAUCGUGAGGGUAGCUUCAGUGAGAAUGCAGAGGACCCAGACAUUCGCCGAAGGGAGUAUCAAAGAAUUAGAAAUUUUGCGGGAUGAGUUUGGAUAAGCAUAGGCCUGAAUCGCAUGUCUAUAUUGCUACUGCAUCAGUGAGAGGGAUUCCCCCAGGAAUUGGAUAAACGUUGCAUAAUGCUUUACGAAUAAAAAUUCCAACAAAAGCUGCAUCGAAACGGACAUCAAUUCAAUUUGCAAGAGGGAUAACUGGAUAACUGACUUAAAAAAAAAAAGAUUUGCUAUCUGACGAUAGUGGCAAACUGUGAGAGGUCUUCGAUAAAGUCGUUCCACGAUUUCGUGAAGCCAGAAUUGACCCAGUUGCCUAUAAAGCGAUAGGCAAGGCGGUCCCAGCGUCGCGGGGCUAUUUUUGCUCGACGCAUCGCUAACUUUAGACGUACGGCCGACGGACGCUCCCUAAUAAGUUCAAGCGACGAUUAUGGUGGUCGACGCCGCCACCGCCGACGACGACGACGGAUAAAACAUAACGCCCCGCCGAGCGUGCCAAAAUUAUGCUUGCCCGCGCGGAAAAGGAACCAACGUGUUUGCACGGCCGAAGACCUCGACUAUAUGAUUGAACACGACGACGAAGACAGCAGCAAUGUUGCUUAACAUUAACGCUGCUUCCAACUCGUCCCUCGUAUCCCGAUAAUUGUAAUUCUAGAAAGACAUGAGUGAACUAUGUUUAAAGUUCACCGACAUCGAGGAAACUGUUCCUUAGAGAAACGAGUAAUUUUAAGAGAAGAAGACACGAGGGUGCGAUUCAUAGAUGAUGUGUCCUUUGAUGGGCAUGGAAACACGAUAUUACGAAGGAUAUUAAAUAUGACACUGUAGUUUUAUGGCUCGUUAAACAUUUUUUAACACAAGUCUCGCUCACUGCUUAUCAGAAUGAUGAUGGAUGUGCCAUACAACACAACAAUUAUACGGGUUUGACAAUGCGCCAAAAUUCGAUCUCAAUGAGUACAGUGAUAUGCUGCGAACUUGAACUUCAUUUAAGGAGUCGACAACAAACUGAAGAUUCUUUCUUAGGUAAAUAACGAUAUUAAAUAUAACCAGAUAAGAUCUGUAUCUCGAAAUCUGUAAGCAAUCAUUAAACACAGAUUUGAUUCAGAUUCAGUUCUAUU